rnacentral:lncRNA from 1 species
UAAAAAGAAAAAAGAGAAGAAGGCAAAAAGCGCCCGAAUGGCUCGUGGUGAGGCUGAUCGCUCAAAAGAGACGAUCGAGAACUCCUUUUUGAAGACUCUGCGUGAAUGAGUGGAGUGAUCUCUCUGUCCCAAUCUUCUUGCAUGUGAGAUCGUUCAGAGGGUCCCAAUGGCCCAGAGGCAAUUCUCGUAUAAUAGAAUAGAUCACGCCUCUAACUAUGA